CGGAGGUAGAGGACAGAAUCGAUGCGGGGGAACUACCAUCCUACCAAUUCGAAACAAACUCCGAAAUGCCGUAACGACUACCCCCGGGAGACAGGCUGCGGGAGAUAAGUUCCGUAGCCGAGAGGGAAAGAGCCCAGACCGCCAGCUAAGGUACCCCAAAUCAUGCUAAGUGGAAAAAGGAAGUGAAGAUGCUAGGACAGCCGGGAUGUUGGCUUAGAAGCAGCCACCAUUUAAAAAGUGCGUAAUAGCUUACCGGUCGAGCAUCUUUGCGCCGAAAAUUAACGGGACUCAAGCAUGAUACCGAAGCUGCGGAUGCACGAACCGUGAGAGCGGCCGUGCGUGGUAGGGGAGCGUUCCAUAUGCUGUGAAGGCCGAGCGUGAGCACGGAGGGAGUACCCUUUCUGGAGCGUAUGGAAGUGAUUAUGCCGGAAUGAGUAGCGAUAAAGGGGUGAGAAUCCCCUUCGCCGUAAGCCUAAGGUUUCCUGGGCAAGGUCAUUCCUCCCAGGGUUAGUCGGGACCUAAGUCAAGGCCGAAAGGCGUAGACGAAUGGACAACAGGUUAAUAUUCCUGUACUGCUUUUGAAGCUUCAGCUAGAGGAGGGACGGAGAAAGCUAAUUGCGGAUGGGGAGCUGGUAGCCCCAUAGAAGCGCGUAGGCUGUCCUCGAUGAUAAAAAGUUUGGGACAAUAAGCUGAGACGUGAUCUCAAAGCGCAAGCAUAUAAGCCGCUGAUGCUAUGCUUCCAAGAAAAGCUCCGCUAGUGCGAUAAAGCACCCGUACCGAUAACCGACACAGGUGGGCGAGGAGAGUAUCCUCAGGCGCGCGAGAGAACUGUUGUUAAGGAACUCGGCAAAUUGGAUCCGUAACUUAGGGAUAAGGAUCGCCUCCGGAGGUGAAGGGUUUACCCUGGCAGCUUCUGGAGGUCACAGUAAAGAGGCCCGAGCGACUGUUUACCAAAAACACAGGUCUGUGCUAACACGCAAGUGGAUGUAUACAGACUGACGCCUGGCCAAUGCUGGAAGGUUAAGGUAAGAGGUCAUCCCGCAAGGGUGCAGCUUUGAACCGAAGCCCCAGUGAAUGCCGGCCGUAACUAUGACGGUCCUAAGGUAGCGAAGUUCCUUGUCGGGUAAGUUCCGACGUGCAUGAAUGGCGUAACGACUUGGGCACUGUCUCAACAACAGACUCGGCGAAAUUGGAGCAGUGGUGAAGAUACCAUUUUACCCGUGGUUAGACGGAAAGACCCCGUGAACCUUUACUAUAAGCUAUUAUUGGUAUUUUUUAUGGAUUGUGUAGCAUAGGCGGGAGACGUUGAAGGGGAGGCGCCAGCCUCUCCAGAGUCGCCGGUGAAAUACCGCUCUUUUCAUAGAGAAUAUCUAACCUAGUCCCGUGAAUCCGGGCUGGGGACAGUUGUAGCCGGGUAGUUUGACUGGGGUGGUCUCCUCCUAAAGAGUAACGGAGGAGUUCAAAGGUACCCUCAUUACGGUUGGCAACCGUAUGUAGAGCGC
rnacentral:rRNA from 1 species